rnacentral:lncRNA from 1 species
CUGAAUUUUGUGUAAAAUAAGUAAGUAAUACAGGUUAUAGAUAAACACAAACGGAUCCUAAAGUGUAUUAAGAUGAAAUAAAGUCGCAACCACCUGCGUGAUAUUGCGUGUAACACGGAAAAUUCCAUAAUCCAUUAGACCACUUCCACAGAUUAAAGCAAAAUGGCAUAUGCCUAUUUCAGCAUUCCUUUAUAUACAAAGUCAAUUCCUAUAAGAACAAUUACUCAUCGCAGACUUUAUCAUUAAUCGUUGAAAAAUCUUAACAAAGCAUUUUUAAACCAAUUUCUAAUUUGAUUAUUCAACUUCAAAAUUAACACUAUAUAUCACCAGCUUCACAGCUGCUGCUUUAUUUGACCAAGGCUAGCUUCUUCGUCUCAACAAGAGGAUUCACCGUGGCACCACCCUCCAGUUGCCGCUGGAUCUAAUCAUUGAAGCCAAAUAAUUAAAAGGCACAGAAUAAAAUUAAACCCAUCCAUAAAAGAAACCAACAAUAAUGCACCAAUUGUUUAUUAGCAUGUGGAUGACGAUCCAGAACGAGUCCACAACAACCGCCACCAACACUGUUGGAUAUGCAAUAUAUCUUAUAUAUAUACAACAUACCCAUUCAUGCCUUGAGUAUAAAUUGUUUUUUUAAUAAAUUCGUUUCUGACUGGAUUGGAGUUCAAAACCUCUUAAUUUUAGAAACGAACCCUUAUCAAUGAGAUAUAAAUAUUAUUCAUAAUUUUUAUUAUUUUAAAAAUAUAUAAAUUAACUAUUAUAAUUUUAUAUAAUUUUUUUUAAUAUUUAAUAAAAUUAAAGGUCUUUAGAAGGGAUAUAAUUGAAAAGGUGUAAAAAAAAAAAAAAAAACCAUUUUUCUUAAUAUAUAAACAGAGUAUUACUUUUACGAUUAAGUAAUUUGUACACGCACACCUGCCUCCGGCUGUUAAAAUGGAGCCGUCUUUAUUCGGUGGAGUCUCAUUUCUUCUUCUUCUUCUUCUUCCUUUUACCUAGUAAACCAGCCGGAUUAAAGCAACCAAAACAAGCAGAACAGUCAAAAACCAGCUAUUGUUAUUCAUUGCUGACCAUGCUCUUUUUGUUUUAACAUAUAAAUGAAGAAUUCAAGAAUCCACCUUCCUUUAGAUGCAGCUUCUUCUGCAACCCAAUACACAAAAAAGAAUCCUCACUCUUCUUGUUUUAUUCUUUAAAGCAUUUGGCUAUUCAUGACGGCUUCUCUUCAAAUUUUCCCUCCGAGAAAACGCCGGCCACCGGUGGAGGCGUU